GUAUGAAGGGUGUUAUGUUGUAUUCGGGAGUGUAGUAUUCCCGCGUCGCAUGCCGAAACGCGUUCUGUGGAAGCCUGCGCUGUCGCUGUAACGUCUCCGUAGAAACACGGCUCGUGGUCUUUUGUGACAUUGUUGUCGCCGCAUCCCACGUGUUGCAGAAGAGACAAAUACAUCGCAGAAUCCCGCCACCGAGCGAGCUGCAUCGACAGCUUGAAGUCAUCGCAGGCACGGCAAGAUAUUACGAUCCUGUAGUCUACAGUUCACGUCUGCCAUUCCUUCCAAAGGCUACACAAUGAGCGAAUACUUCUCGCUGUCGGAGUGUGAUGUAAUUGGCUUUGACUUGGACCACACGCUCUGUCGAUACAAUUUGAAGGAGACCUCCAGGCUGAUCUAUGAGAGUUUUGCACGGUAUCUGGUGGAACACAAGGGCUAUGAUAAAGAUCUACUUCAUUUAACACCUGCUACUUGGGAUUUCUGUUUUAAAGGUCUUGUGGUGGACCUUGAGGAGGGCAACCUGGUCAAGUUGGCAGAGGAUGGUACUGUCUUGCGAGCAACUCAUGGCACUAAAAACCUUAGUAUUGAUGACAUCAUAAAGCAUUAUGGUCCAAAAAGAGAAUGGAAGCAUUUUAAUAGCCUCAAUACCUCGUACACACGAUCUGCAAAAUACUAUUUUUAUGACAACUAUUUUGACCUCCCUGGUGCUCUUCUCUGUGCCAGAGCGGUGGAUAUGUUGAAUAAGCAAGGAGCUGAAAUCACAUCUGACUUUUGGAAAGACAUUGUUGCUGCUAUUGAUCAUAACUACAACACAUCUGCAUUUCGGGAGGACACAGGGACGUAUUUCCCCAGUGUGAAGCGCUGUCCUGGCCGUUACCUGCAGCCCUGCUCGGAUGCGGUGAAGAGAUGGUUGAGGAGCAUGAAGAACAGCGGUAAAAUCCUGCUGCUCAUCACCAGCUCACACUCGGACUACUGCCGGCUCGUGUGUGAGCACAUACUCGGAUCGGACUUUGAGGAGCUGUUUGACAUCAUUAUCACUAAUGCUCUGAAGCCUGGAUUCUUCUCUUUGGUUCCACAGCAGAGACCUUUCAGAACGCUGGUGGACGAUGUUGAAGAAAGUGAAGGACUGCCAUCACUGGAAAAGCCUGGUUGGUAUUCUCAGGGCAACUGGCCUCAUCUACACGAACUACUGAAGAACAUGACCAACAAAACUGAGCCCAAGGUGGUGUAUUUUGGAGACAGCAUGCGCUCGGACAUGUUCCCGGCCUGCAGCUUUGGAAAGUGGGAGACGGUGAUGAUUGUGGAGGAGAUGGAGGGGGAGGGCGUUCCACGUGCUAACGCGACCCCCAGUAACAGCCCCACCCCGAGUGAAAGCCCAGCAGAGAAAAAGGGCAAGUUUGAGGUGAGAGUGAAAGGCUGUUUCUGUUUAGUCAAGCUCAGGAUCUUUUCCAUGCUCCAUUUCAGAGGAUCAAGGAAUGAAAUCUCCUUCAGCUGUAUCAAACCAGUGGGGCUCAUAUUUUGUGGAUGUGCAAAAGAAUGAAGGAGAGGAAACACGGAGGCUCACCUGGUGUUGCCACAGUAUCCACACAUACAGCACCAUGGCUAUACCCAGCAUUGAGGCUAUAGCAGAUCUUCCUCUAGACUUUAAGUUCCAGAGAUUCUUUUCGGAUAAGCCCAUCACGUCAGGUUAUUACCCCAGACCUCCAGACUCACUGCUCAAAUGGGAAGAGAACUAGCCCCGAACCCUCACGCCUGUCAGCAUAGACCAAGAGAUUGUUUCACCGUUACGUUCUGGAGCUUCACCACAGAGCUAGACCAUCCAUUCGUCCAAUCAGUGAUAAAGCUGUGUGAAUGUAACACCCAGAGCACUGUCUGUGUAUUUUCUUCUCACCCCUUCCUGAAUCACUACAGCAUACACAGUAUGAAGUUGUGUCUGUACACAUGCUGAAUAUCUGUACAUUGAUCAUUGGAUGUACUGUAGGAGAAAGUCACAAUGUAUUGUGUUUCACCCAGCGUUGUGGACCCACUACCAUUAAACUACAUUUAAUGAUGUACAGAGAAAAAAAAAAUGUAGCUUUCCCAUGAGCUAUGUGUGUUUUUUUGUUUUUUGUUUUGUUUUGUCCAGUUUUUAUGAAGGGAAUGUUAUAUGACCUCAGAGGAUUUGUUCUUGCAGCUGUUGUAAAUGCUUUCUGAGGAAAGCAAGGCACAAAUUAUAUUGAAUAUUCAUGCAAUCAAGAAACAGCCAUGAGUUCUUUGCUCUUUUUAUGAUUGGUUGAUGUUUUAAGGGGGUUGUAACCUGCAGGUUUUGUAACUGGUUCAGAUCUGGGCCGGUUUGUUUUACUUUCCAUCAUUUGAUUAUGAUUUCAGUGCUUUAGUUUACUGUAGCUUACUGUAUUCUGCAGACGUUUCUGUGACAAAUGGAGAAAUGGACGUCAUGCUUCCAGGCGCCAGUAAUAAAAGGAAUAGUUUACCCAAAACUUAAAAAUUGUUGGUACUUAUUCACCAUCGUGUUGUUCCAAACCAUUGAGUUGUUGAUGGAACAUAAAGUCUUUGUUGAAGAAUCUUCAUGCAACUCUUUCCAUACAGCAAGAGUUUAAAGUUUGUAAAAGGACAGAAAUAAAAGCACCGGAGACUGCUACAUUUCAAGUCUUCUGAUGCUACAAGAUGUUAUUUACUGACCAUUUUUUCCUCCAGUGAGUUGUUAGCUGUAGAGCCCUUGCAUAAGUUCAUUGAUUUAGUCAGCUGAACUUAAGAACUGGAUCAUUGAAUGAAUUGGUGUUUUGAGGUGGUUCUUUUCUCGUUGAUCUUCUACAUGAUGUGUUUACAGUCAGACUGAUUUGUUUAACUUGCAGACUUGAUGAUCCAGUUACAGCAGUUCUCAGGUUAACAUCUCGCUGACGAGAAAGUUUAUCAGUGAAAAAGGACUCACAUUUUGGUCUAUUCCUCACAUCGGAAGACAUGAAAUAUAGCAAACAAGUCCUACACUCUUAAAAAUAAAGGUCCUCCAUGAUGCCAUAGAAGAACCUUUUUGUCUAAAUGGUUCCAUAAAGAACCUUCAACAUCUGAAGAACCUUUCUGUUUCACAAAAGUUUCAUUGUGGCAAA